rnacentral:lncRNA from 1 species
UCAGGAACUCACUUUGGAUAUAACAUCAUGGGGACAAAAAACAUAUUACUGGAAAAUCAGGUUAAGCAGCACCCUAUCUUCUUUUUUCUCAUGCUAUAUGGGAUGCUUGGAACUUUAUUAUCAUUCUCUGAUGUCCUGCCAUUGUUUUCAAAUAUUGAUUGGGAUCAAAAUUCUUACUUGUCCUUUGUACAGAAGCAUAUGGGAGCCGCAUUUGAGAAAUGCUCUCAACUUUCGGUUGCAAAUAUUGAAAAGGCGAUAUACAAUCCAGUGACUUUUUGAAUCACAGUGAGGUCCUUUGAUCUUUGCGGUCUUCUUAGCUUUGAUUCAUGUUGCUACUAGCAAAAGAAAAAACUAUUUGUGUUAUAGUUUCCACUGAAAACUUGCACCCAUGUAGUUUAUUAUUGGUACCUGUUUUCUUCAUACAACUAGAUUUAUUUCACAUGCUUUCACAAGACAAUGUAACUAUUUUCUUGUAGCUGUUGGUUACAUGGAAUCAAGUGAAGACCUCGGUGAUUUUGCAGUAUGGAUGAAGCUGUAUAUACACACAAAAUUUGAAUUUCUUGCCUCGAAAUAUAUUUUUGCAGCAUGUAUUAAACAUGGUGUGUCCAAACAUAGACGAUAAAUGAAAACAUGUCUUUUGCUUUGACGUUUCGGUGUGCAGUAACAGUUUCAAAUAGGAUAUACUUGUUUUAUUAUGAUCUCUACACAAUAUUAUUAGCUUGAAAAUUGAAUAUGGGCAUUUUUUAUUUUACACAUACAAUAAAAUUUUGUACAGUAUUUGAUACAUGCAUUUGCACGUACACGAUUACUAAAUCUUGGCAUUUUCUUCUAAGUACGAAAUCUGUUACAGAGUACUAAGUCUUGAUAUUUUGUUUGCCACCUAAGGAGAAAAAUGCCACUCCAGGUGAUUAUGAUACGCGAUUUUAGUGGUGUUUAUUGUUUCGUCGCAUGUAAAAGUGAUGUGGUGUCUUGCACAGACCUGCUGAAGUUUGUCUUCUAAUAGCUGAUACAUGCCUUCUAUAUUAGUAUAUUUUAUGCUUUAUUUAAGGUUUAAUUUUCAAUAUAUUACAGGUACACUUUUGAGUAUAUGAUAGUCCAUAUAGAGAGUUGCUUCCUUAAUCGAAGUAGGUGAAAAAAAUGUCCAGACCAGGAUUAUUUCAUUCUAGAAAAGGAAAAG